CUUACAUUCUUUUCUUUUACAGUGAUUAUCGUUUCUUACAAAGAGCCAACAGUGAAGCCACGGCAAAGUAUGUCAUUAACAGUGUAUCUGCUGAUGACUAUGGUUAUUACACAUGCAGUGUUUCAAAUAAUAAAGGUAGCUCUUCCUUGACCAUCAAAUUAGAAGAGACAAAUACAGCGCAACCUGAUCAGAUAGCAGGGGCUGUGAGUGGAGCCACAACACUCAGUGGUUUUGUAUCAGUGCUUUUGCUGCUAUUAUUCUGGAGCCUUUCAUAAAAAUGAAGAUGAUGUGAUGUGAGAAGCAUCUUUAGAUGUUUUUUUAUAUAUAUAAAAGACCAAAUUUUCAAGCAUCACAAGAGUGAGGACUGUAGUGAAUGUGAGAUAAAAGGACUGUUAUUUACUUUUUUUUUUACAUGUAGGGACAGCAUACAGGAACUGGCAAAAAUUAGAUAAAUAAUUAAAAGAGAAAGGGAAGGAUAAAGAUGUCCACUUUUCAGUUAUCCCCACUAAUUUUCUAGUGCUAACCAGUCGUCUCUGCAUGACUUUGCCAACUAAAAGUUUGAAACUAUUUUUUAUAAGCAUAAAUUUGAGAUAAGCUCAACGGUUGUAUACUUUCAUAACAUUUUCAGUUUGAGUGAAGAUUGAAUAUUUUAGCUGGGUAAGCAGUUGUCUUAAGAUCCUGGUGUAUUCUAUAUUAGCAAAACUUUACAAAACUAGACAGUCCCUUCCUCCUCCACGCUGUGCUUGACAUAGCCAAUGAACUCAUUA